rnacentral:rRNA from 1 species
UACGUAGGGACCAAGCGUUGUUCGGAUUUACUGGGCGUAAAGGGCGCGUAGGCGGCAAUUCAAGUCAGUUGUGAAAUCUCCGAGCUUAACUCGGAACGGUCAACUGAUACUGUUUUGCUAGAGUACAGAAGGGGCAAUCGGAAUUCUUGGUGUAGCGGUGAAAUGCGUAGAUAUCAAGAGGAACACCGAUGGCGAAGGCAGCC